CCAGCUUUCUCAGGUCCCCCAAAGAUGGUCAAUAUCCCCCAGAACUGUCUUCAAAAUAGUAUUUUGGAGCUAAAAUUUUCCAUGCUUAGUUUAAGCCAAAGAUGAUUUUUUUAUGUCUCCAAGGCAAGUGAACAAAAUUAGCCUCCUUUCCUGGGGAGAAAAUUUUCAAAUUUGUCAUUAUUAUCCUCUCUUGGAAGUGGCUCAAGGCAGUUUUUAGAUGAACAUAAACCCAAACACAACAAUCAGCUUCCAAAUCGGAUGCCAAUGUCAUGUAUGGAAACAGCGCGGCAACCACAGCAGAGAGCAGAGCAGCAGGCUUGUCAGGUAUUUCAGUAAAUGUCUGUUGUGACAUCCUACUCCUGCCAGGCUUCCAACGUAACGGGAUACAUAAAGUACAGCUGUCUAACUUAGCAAAUGAGGCCAUCUGCAUUCAAGAAAUGACUGAACCUUACAGCAUGUGCCACAGAUUCUCAGUAUCACCAUUUUAACAAAAGACAAGAGAGAAAAAGAGGAGUGAUCAUCAAACGGGCUGAAAUUCUGUACAAAUAGCAAGCAGAUGAACAUAGCAAGAGAAUCCUCUGGGGUCCUGCUCCGAAUGCUCCCAGAACCGGGCCUCCUUUUCCGUCUUCCCUGUGCCAGUGGAGAGCUCGGGUGACCCUGGGUCUUCCCAGUCAAAACACACCUGUCUUCAAAGAGCCAUAUGCUUGGAAACGGAGUUUAUCCCUCGCUAUACCCUAGGGAAGGUCUGCACCGUGUGUCUCUCUUCAAAAUCCAAGAACCCAGAAGUAUGAAGCUUUGUUCUUUGCAUAUUCAUGUUUGCUUGGUGACUCAGACAGUAUGGGAGGGGGGUAUCAUC